rnacentral:rRNA from 1 species
GGUAGGACUACCCGCUGAACUUAAGCAUAUCAAUAAGCGGAGGAAAAGA